rnacentral:lncRNA from 1 species
GGGAUUGGCCGGCCAGAGAGUGAGGCGGGGCCGGGGGCGGGGCGAGGGCGGAGUCACGGGGCCGACUGGCCAGUGGGCGCCUGCGCGUAGGGUCGGCCACUCGGCGGGGCGCGUGCGCGGGCCGGCGCGGGACCGUGCGAGCCUUGGCGUCCCUCACAAGGCAUUCGCGUGUGCGCCUCCCUAGCGUGCGGAGGCGCCUGGAACCUUGGGAGUGGUGCAGUGUUGCACAGUUGCUACCACCCACGCAGUCCCUUAGCAGGUCUGGGUGGCGACACUGCCAGACCAGUGUGUGUCAGUGGCUCAAGUCAAGAUUGAUCAGAAUGUGUAAGCUCCGUGGUCUUUCAGGCAAAGUAGCGGCCUAAGGUCACGCUGGAGUUGCAUAUAGUGGACUAUAUGUGGCCUCCGGGGCGCCAGUGUCGUCACUUGCUCUCUCCUGCAGGAUACGUGCAUCGCGGCCUCCUCGCCUCUCACGAAAGUAAGCAUUGUUUCAGUCUUUGAUUUCAGGCUUUUGCUCUGUUCCCGACUCGGGUCCGUGGCGUCGGUGUGCUGGCCAGCCACGAGGACCACGAAAGUCAGCAGUCUUUUUGGGGGGGUGGGGGGAGGGGGGGAGGGGAAAGUAGCGCCGGUGCGCAGUGGUUAUUGCGCAGGUCCGUAACACCCCCUAGUGAGCUCUCAUUGGUUCUGCCAGACUCUGCUUGUUAAUUGGUAGUAAUUUUUGGAAAUUAAACAAGUGGAGAGGAUCGGGCCGGCCUGGGCCACCUUCGGCAACCCCGCGUCGGCCAUUUUGUACGGUGAGGAAGGCAGGUGAUGGCGGUGGCAGCGGCGGUGUAGGCCUGUGCUCAGCCCCACGCCCUUAGCCGCCACAUCCGCCCACGGCCCACCACGAGGCGCCCACGCAAGCCUCAGUCCACCUGCACACCCUGGAUUUAUGAACUUCGUACUCGUUCAACUUCAUGGUUGUUAAAAAAAAAAAAAAAAAAAAAAAAAAAAUACAUAUUUGUAAACAUCUACAAUAUUGUGAAGAGAGAAAAAGUACAUAUGUUAUAUCCACCUCACAAUCUGAAAAAAGCAACAACGAUAUCCCAAAGUCCAGAAACUACUUGUGCAAUAUUGCUUGUUGAAAGCACUCAAUCACAGAGGGUGACUAAGUGAGGAACGGGGGCGAAGGGGGUAAGGUGGGGGAACGGGGAGAGGUGUCAUAGCCAAGCAAUCGUUUUCGUGCAAAUUGCAAUAUCAUUGCAGACUUUAUCGCUGUAAGAGCUUGAGAUAACCAAGUUCCUCAGUUCGUUGUAUGUGUGAUUUUUAUUUUUUUGCUCUCUUAUGAAUUUGUUGUUUUGGAAUUGAUGUCGUCUAUGAUUGCAUUUGAAUUGAUCUGUUUUCAUAAAAAAAAAAAAAGUUUCUUGAAAAUAACUGACAGGAAUCGUGAGGCAAAGUUUCUCUCUCUCUCUCUCUCUCUCUCUCUCUCUCUCUCUCUCUCUCUCUCUCAGAGUCUUUCUAUCUUUCUGUGUCCCCUUCCUCGCCUCGGCAACACGAGAAAGAGCGAAUAUAACAGAGAGAAGGAGAGUGCGUGUGGUCAGUCCUCCGAGUGAACAGCGGGCUUGCAACACCACGGCGCCAGAGGAAGGACGGAAGGAAGGGCGAGGGCGUAAAUAAUGAAGUCCUUCGGAAGAACAGAGGAGAGACAAACGCACAAACGUCGGUUCUGUUCCAAGACUUUUUUUGUGUUUUCAUCUCUGUGGCUGUUCAUUUUCCUUCUGUGCUUUCUUUUCGUCUCUCUGUCUCUCUCUCUCUCCGUUUCCUCUUCUCCCUCGCCUCGUAUGCGUUGAGAGAGCGACAGACCCCGACCACCCACCCGAAGACGGCGUUCGGGAAGCCCUCUCGUCGCGCGCUCUCUCUCUCCCGCCGCCGCUGAGCGAUGUUCCGGCAGCGCUAUUGCCGUCGUCGUCCGUAGCGGAGCGGGGAGAGCGAGAGAGGGAGAGAGGGAGAGCGAGAGAGAGAGAGAGAGAGUGAAAGAAGGGCAGGCGGGAGAUCGUGGCUUCAGUCUGCCGCAAAGUCCCGUGGAGUCUCGACGGAUGUGAGUGAGGAGAGGCGGCGUGCGCUGCGCAGGUGUCGUCGGGCCGCGGCGGUGGCGGUGGCGGCGGCGGCGGCGGCGGCGGCGGCGGGGAUGAUAGACAGCGCUCCGCCACCGAGCCCACGCGAUACACUGUCAAAUUCUCUCUCUCUCUCCGUGCAAUCGCGUCGUCGGCCGCGCCGGGUCCUCGCCGACGGCCGUGGCUGCAACUCGGCUCAGGGCCAGCCAGGGACCUGCCUUCGCCGCCGCCGCCGCCGCCGCCUCCCUCCGCCGGUGUCUGCUACUGCUGCUGCGGAUACUCCUGCUGCUGCUGCUGCUGCUGGACUCCUCCUCCGGCCGCGGGCGUGGAGACGCAUCCCUUCGGAAGCAGUCAGACACCGCCCAGUUCUCGCUGGUGCCUCGUGUGCGUGCAACAUAGUCACCAGGAACAUCGCCCCUCGCACACACUCACUCACACACUCACUCUCUCUCGCAACCUCGCCCAGUGGCUUCGGAACCCCGCGCCUUCCGAGCCAGCGCUAGUUCCGUCGUAGCGCCGCACGCUCUUCCCUUCCGAUUCGGGAAACACUCGAAUACGGCGCUUCGACUUUUGAAAAGGAAAAUGUGAGAUGGAGAACGACGGAGAGGAAGAGAAAGAGAAGAGAAGAGAGAGAGAGAAAAAGGAAGAUAUUCGAGGUGGAUCCGCGUUGAUUUUUGAAAAAGGAACCCCCCGCCCACCCCGCCCAACCCGCCCACCCCGCCCGCAGUGCCCGGAGCGAGGUGCGUGGAUGACGCCCGUUAUCUCCCUUGACAGCCUCGCCGAGACCAUAGAGAGACAGAAAGGAGAGGAUAAGUAAGAGAGAGAGAGAGAGAGAGAGAGAGAGAGAGAGAGAGAGAGAGAGAGA